rnacentral:rRNA from 1 species
UACGGAGGGGGCUAGCGUUGUUCGGAAUUACUGGGCGUAAAGCGCACGUAGGCGGAUUGGCAAGUUGGGGGUGAAAUCCCGGGGCUCAACCCCGGAACUGCCUUCAAAACUCCCAGUCUGGAGGUCGAGAGAGGUGAGUGGAAUUCCGAGUGUAGAGGUGAAAUUCGUAGAUAUUCGGAGGAACACCAGUGGCGAAGGCGGCUCACUGGCUCGAUACUGACGCUGAGGUGCGAAAGCGUGGGGAGCAAACAGG